UGCAAGAGUGCUGCCAGUGUAAACAAUUCAAACGCUUCCUCGUCAAAGAUAUCAGUUUAUAGUAUGGGGGGUGAUAACUAUAUGAUACCAACGCCUUACUAAUGUCUGAGUGAUGCCCACAUCGGUAUUUGAGAGCUCCGCUGCGACACAGACAUUCAUUUUAAUUUUAUUUUUUUACAAGCGGAAGAAGCGAUUUGAGUGUCUGCCCCAGAUAGUUUCAUUAGAGACGAUGAAAAUAAUUACCCAGAUGUACUUGAUCCAAUUGAGGAGGAAACGAGGUACAACAUGCAACUUCAAUCGAAGACCUAAAAUCAUGCCUGACAAUAUCACAACGUCAAGAUGUGAUGAGCAACCAAUCCGCUUCACUGCAGGUGCUCAACCCACCACUGUUCUCCCUCCACAAGUAACCACAUCCUCUUCUCCUGUUCAACUACUGUGCCACCACACUAAAAAUGACUGUACAUAUACCCCUGUGCCCAUCUCAGUGUAACAUGAUCCAUCCAAGGCCUCAGCUGGAUACCUGAAAUGUAAGCAAGAUGCUAUAGUAUGUAUGUAUGUAUGUAUGUAUGUAUGUAUGUAUGUAUGUAUGUA